AGAAAAUGCAGACUCCAAGACUAACCCAGGAAUCACAGAUAUUAAGGCUGAAGUGGUUGCUUCAGAGUCUCGAGCACGUCUCCUGCACGGCAUACAGGAACAGAUGAAACACCCAGGUCCGUCAGUUUUUUUCCUUCCCCUUGCUCCCUUUCCGUUGGCUGCUCUUUUGGAUCAUGUGAUUCAACCGGUCAAGCGGAGGAUUCUGAUUUGAACCAAUAAGGAGAGAGCUCGCAAAACAAGCACCGGAAAGCACAGGACAGCAAUUAACAUGGUGAUCUUAUCCAGAGCUGAUGAGUCAUCUGUGACUCCCUCUGCCCUGCGUGCUGUGAAAAGAAGCAGGGCAACUGACAGAACACAGGAUAAAAUGCAAUUUACCCUGUUUUUUUUUUGCCUACAGUUAACAGGAGACAAAACUGGCAAUGUAUGACAGGUUGUCUGAGCGAGCUUGCAGCUGUUUUGCCUCCAAUGUACCCUCCA